GAUCAUGGAUGGCUGGAGUGCAGUCACACAAUCAUGGCUCGCUGCAACAUUGAUUUCCUGAGCUCAAUCAAUCCUCCCACUUCCACCUCCUGAGCAUCUGGGACUAAAGAUGAGGUCCUGGAAAGCUCACUGACUUUUGGCGGUACCAAAUGAAUACAACAUCAUAACAUCAUUGCCCAUUCUUUAUUGAUGAAACUUACUGAACAGAG
rnacentral:lncRNA from 13 species